rnacentral:rRNA from 1 species
GACGAACGCUGGCGGCGUGCUUAACACAUGCAAGUCGAACGAUGAAGCCGGAGCUUGCUCUGGUGAAUUAGUGGCGAACGGGUGAGUAACACGUGAGUAACCUGCCCUUGACUCUGGGAUAACUGCGGGAAACUGUAGCUAAUACCGGAUACGACCCUCGGAGGCAUCUCCUGGGGGUGGAAAGAAUUUCGGUCAAGGAUGGACUCGCGGCCUAUCAGCUAGUUGGUGAGGUAAGGGCUCACCAAGGCGACGACGGGUAGCCGGCCUGAGAGGGUGACCGGCCAAAAUGGGACUGAGACAAGGCCCAGACUCCUACGGGAGGCAGCAGUGGGGAAUAUUGCACAAUGGGCGCAAGCCUGAUGCAGCAACGCCGCGUGAGGGAUGACGGCCUUCGGGUUGUAAACCUCUUUUAGUAGGGAAGAAGCGAAAGUGACGGUACCUGCGGAAAAAGCACCGGCUAACUACGUGCCAGCCGCCGCGGUAA